UGCCAGCAGCCGCGGUAAUACGGAGGGGGUUAGCGUUGUUCGGAAUUACUGGGCGUAAAGCGCGCGUAGGCGGAUUGGAAAGUUGGGGGUGAAAUCCCGGGGCUCAACCCCGGAACUGCCUCCAAAACUAUCAGUCUAGAGUUCGAGAGAGGUGAGUGGAACUCCGAGUGUAGAGGUGAAAUUCGUAGAUAUUCGGAGGAACACCAGAGGCGAAGGCGGCUCACUGGACCGAUACUGACGCUGAGGAGCGAAAGCGUGGGGAGCAAACAGGAUUAGAUA
rnacentral:rRNA from 1 species